ACCGACUCCCACUGUGGGGAUUAGGGAUGUGUGAGCAGAGUCUUAGCGACUAGCUUCUCCUCCUCCCCAUAUCAACACCCUUCAAUGCUGACUUCUCAAAGUAUGGUGCUAGGGCGUCACCUGGAAGCUUGUUACGCCUCUCCCCAGAACUACUGUGUCCGAAACUGCAUUUAAACCAGAUCCUCGGGGGAUUUAGAGCUGGUUAACAAAAUGACCAGAGGAUUAAAGUUUGGAAAUCUCCAAUUUCGACUAUAUUGAUUACAUUGCCUGCGUGUUCAACAACUCUGACAAUAUUUGACCCAAUAAACGAGUGCCCAGCAAGGUCAAAGCACAACUUUACUGUGUUGAAAGCUCGCUUUAUUGCAUGAAAUUGGAGCGCUGAGCUCAGUGGAGAUUCUGACUGAGAGCACGGUCAGGUAUUAUAGAAGAGUCUCAGUGACUGGGGGAGUGGGCUGCCAGCCAACACCCCCGUGC
rnacentral:lncRNA from 10 species